GACCAGUUAGUUUAAACCAAAAACAAGUGAUUUCGACUCACUAAAUUGUAAUUCAACUUACAACUGCUCU
rnacentral:tRNA from 1 species